rnacentral:misc_RNA from 1 species
GAUGAAGAACGCAGCGAAAUGCGAUACGUAAUGUGAAUUGCAGAAUUCAGUGAAUCAUCGAGUCUUUGAACGCACAUUGCGCCCCCUGGUAUUCCGGGGGGCAUGCCUGUCCGAGCGUCAUUGCUGCCCUCAAGCACGGCUUGUGUGUUGGGCCUCCGUCCUCCUCCCGGGGGACGGGCCCGAAAAGGCAGCGGCGGCACCGCGUCCGGUCCUCGAGCGUAUGGGGCUUCGUCACCCGCUCUUGUAGGCCCGGCCGGCGCUUGCCGACACAUCAAUCUUUUUUCCAGGUUGACCUCGGAUCAGGUAGGGAUACCCGCUGAACUUAAGCAUAUCAAUAAGCGGAGGA